CAGUCGCCGCGGGAAUACGAAGGGUGCAAGCGUUACUCGGAAUUACUGGGCGUAAAGCGUGCGUAGGUGGUGGUUUAAGUCCGUUGUGAAAGCCCUGGGCUUAACCUGGGAAUUGCAGUGGAUACUGGGUCACUAGAGUGUGGUAGAGGAUAGUGGAAUUUCCGGUGUAGCAGUGAAAUGCGUAGAGAUCGGAAGGAACACCAGUGGCGAAGGCGGCUCACUGGACCAUUACUGACGCUGAGGUGCGAAAGCGUGGGGAGCAAACAGGAUUAGAUACCCCAGUAGUCCCUGUCUCUUAUCC
rnacentral:rRNA from 1 species